GAGGAAUAUUGGUCAAUGGAGGCAACUCUGAACCAGCCAUGCCGCGUGUAGGACGAAUGCCCUCUGGGUUGUAAACUACUUUUAUUGGGGAAGAAACCCUCUUACGUGUAAGAGGCUGACGGUACCCAAGGAAUAAGGACCGGCUAACUCCGUGCCAGCAGCCGCGGUAAUACGGAGGGUCCAAGCGUUAUCCGGAAUCAUUGGGUUUAAAGGGUGCGCAGGCGGUAGUGUAAGUCAGUGGUGAAAUCUCUCGGCUCAACCGAGAAACUGCCAUUGAUACUGCAGUACUUGAAUACAGUUGAAGUAGGCGGAAUGUGUAGUGUAGCGGUGAAAUGCUUAGAUAUUACACAGAACACCGAUAGCGAAGGCAGCUUACUAAACUGAUAUUGACGCUCAUGCACGAAAGCGUGGGGAGCGAAC
rnacentral:rRNA from 1 species